rnacentral:rRNA from 1 species
AGAAUCAACGCUGGCGGCGUGCCUAACACAUGCAAGUCGAACGAGAAAGUGGAGCAAUCCAUGAGUAAAGUGGCGACCGGGUGAGUAACACGUGACUAACCUACCUUCGAGUGGGGGAUAACCUCGGGAAACCGAGGCUAAUACCGCAUAACAUCGCAAGAUCAAAGCAGCAAUGCGCUGGAAGAGGGGGUCGCGGCUGAUUAGCUAGUUGGCGGGGUAACGCCCACAAGGCGAAGAUCGGUA